GCCUUGAGACGCAGGCGUACCCGGACGCCGUCAAUCACCCCGAGUUCCCGUCGGUGACAGUCAGGCCCGGCCAGGUGUACAAGCACGACAUGCUCUACAAGUUCUCCUUCUAGCUAAGGCUGGACUAUGGCUGCGCUACGCCAGUAGUAGUAGUACCACCAUUGGUUAAUGGGCCGUAGAUGUGUUCACUCUGGAUUUGGAGGUGGCGCGAUUCGUGGGACUGGAUGCUGUUAUGCGGUGAGCCCAGAACGGCUACGGUGCUUGGAAAAUAAAAUCAUGCGUUUGUGCAGUGCAAAAGAUCCGCUCAAUAAGAAAAAAGAAAUAAAAAUUGUGCGAACAUUAGUCCUUU
rnacentral:lncRNA from 1 species